UACGUAGGGUGCAAGCGUUGUCCGGAAUUAUUGGGCGUAAAGAGCUCGUAGGCGGUCUGUCGCGUCGGAUGUGAAACCUCGGGGCUCAACCCCGAGCCUGCAUUCGAUACGGGCAGACUAGAGUUCGGUAGGGGAGACUGGAAUUCCUGGUGUAGCGGUGAAAUGCGCAGAUAUCAGGAGGAACACCGAUGGCGAAGGCAGGUCUCUGGGCCACUACUGACGCUGAGAAGCGAAAGCAUGGGGAGCGAACAGG
rnacentral:rRNA from 1 species